rnacentral:lncRNA from 1 species
UGAGUCCCUGUUAAUAUGCCAGGCACUGUGCUAGGUCCUGGGGUAGAGCGGUGGGCAAAACAGGCUCUGCCCUCAUAGAGCUUAGGAGGAAAGGCAAACACGUUUCAGAUAGUCUCACAAAUAAAUAUAUCAUUGCAAACUGUGAUACAUGAGAGCCUGGAAAGAGUUCCCUGAGGGCAGUGCAGCCUCAAAGGGAGAGACUACUCUUUAGCCUGUACGGUGUGUAGAGGGCUUGGGAGUUGGAAUGUCUUAGUAGAACUAGAGCAGGGGCCCAGGGCUGUUUCCUCCAUUUGGCUCAUAGGCCUGAUGUCUAGGGCAUGGAAGUGUCUUAAGGGCCCGGAAAAAUAAAUUAAUUGGUUCCAAAAUACAAAGAAACAACUGCAUAAUUCAAGCCAAUAAAUGCAUAAAUGUUUAUAGAGUAUAUAUUAUACUAACAAGAUCACUGGACCUCAGCUUGCCUUGUAGAGCUAUUUACAAAUAAGAACUUUGUAUUUAAAUUAUAUUUAAUGUGGAACAUGGGUACAUUUUAAUUUGUUUGAUGUAAUGUGCAAUGGGACUCAUGGAAGUCUUCAAAAGACCCUCUGAUUGGGCAAUGUGUUGGGUUGAAUUAAGUUCUGCCGUGAAUAAAAGAAAUUAACAGUGUUAUUAACAGAAA